rnacentral:lncRNA from 1 species
UCGAGCGCUUACCAUCGCGGCCGCAAGGUCGUGGAUUCGAUUCCCAGCGGCGGAUCUUUUUCUUGUUUUUUUUUCUUUCUCACCCGUUGGGGUCUAUUGUAUAUCAACGUCAUAUGCGUAACGGAUGUACUUGGUGGACCCGGCAUAAAACACUUUCGUGUUAAAAACAGCGCGAGAAGACAGGGAUGAAGGAAGAUACACACACAUGAGCGCUGACUGACAACUGAUUUUAUUUCCAGCAGUGCAUGAAAUGUCUGCACAAUAAAAUAAAGUUCGACAACCACGUGCACUUGUCCUCCACUUGUUACAACUGCUAGCUCAUCUAUCGAUAUAUAUCAAGAAACCGUGGGGCGAUCGGAGAUCUCUGUUCGUUCGCGUUCGUUCUGCGGUGCCUACGUCACAAAAGAGAGAGGAGGUCGCAGCUUUCCCGCCGAGAAACGCCGAGAGGAAGGGGACAGCCAAUCGUGGAGCGGAGAGCUUCCCGGGAAGUAGACGCGCAUCCUAUGUCGUCGGCACAGGGACCGUAUGCUCCAAAACGAAGCGUUUCUUGCCUUUUAAUAAAUAUUACUUUACAGAAAAAUAUUGUUUUUUCUUCUCAAGCUCACUCUCUCAGACAGCAGUAGGUUUGAGUACUGGUAUUUAUUUGUGUUAGUUUUUUCUAACGUGGUCGCUAGGUGGUGUCGCGCACGUUAAAAACAAAGGAAGUUGCGUGUGGCGCAUAUUUUCAAAAUGUCGUCGAGGCACAAGGAGCGUGUCGGUCCUCGGGUGUCUGAGCGUCAACGGGAGCUCCUCCUGGCUUUCAUGGAGGAGCACCCCCCGCUCGCAACGCCUUCGUGCCCGCUGGACCCCUCGUUCACGGGGGAGGACCGGGAGGAGCUCUGGCACCAGCUUAUAGCGCUCCUAAACCAGGCAGGCCCUGCGCAUAGGUCUUUCGCGCAGUGGCAGGCGUUCUUGCGGAAGGAGCGCUAUAACGCCGAGCAGGAGCUCAUACGACUCCGGGAAGAACAGAGUUGAGUGCGAGCACAAUUGUAUCUCGGUGGGUCAUCUUACACAUACCGUUUGUGCUUUACAGGGGCACCGGAGGCGGCCAGCUGUCCGGCUACCGCGGCCGCAUCUUGCAGCUGACUGUGACCUCGAGGGUCGACGGUGCGCGAGGCCCUGUAUUUCGGCGGUCGGAAGCGUUGGUUCCCCCAGAGCAGAGCCUGCAGGCUCGUGCACUGUCUGGGGACUUCCGCCGCCCUCAGUCACAGCCCACACCGCCAAGGGUCUCAGUCGGGGACAUGCCGGGCACCAGCGGCUUGCAGGCGUUCGUGAUCCCUGCUGCGGCUGCCGCUGGCUCGUCCGAAGAGGAUGUAUCCCCAGCUC